UUUUAAAUGUUGACAACCAAAUAAAAACACAAGAAUGUGAGCAUUACCAAAUAAGUCUGUUGGGGGGGAAGUGUGCAUAAACAUGUCCAGGGCCACAGGUUAUGGCUUGGUUUAAUGUGUGAGGCUUGAGUUACUGACCAUCCUCCAUGAUCUAUUUUUCUCCCUUCUGGGUCUAGCCUCACUCCUAGGCUGGGAUUGCUAUUCCCCUUGAUAGGAGCUAAACGAAGAAAUUGAGGAGGACCUUGGAAGAGACUCUGAAUUCAACAAAUGACCCCCGAUACCUACUGUGUGCAUGAAAAUGUACAAGGGUUUCUGUUCUGUAGAUACUUCUGGUCAGCCUCAGAGUGAUGGAGGGGUCUCUGCAAAUGUUCCCACCAUUAGACUGAAAUACUAUGUUAUAGGCCUCUCAGGAUCCAAUGGCAAGUGAAUGUCAUAGAUGACCUUGUUACAGAAACUCCAAGGAAGGAGGGAGACCUCUCUUUGGGCUUCACAGGCUGAAGGAUUUCCAUGAACCAAAGGAGCAGGCAUAGAUUCCAGGAUAGAGAGGAUAAAGAGGAGGGAGUUCAGAGUGAGGGGUGUGGGGAGCUCCUCUUUGAGAAGAUGCUCCAAGGUAAGGGACUUGCAGAGGCAUACACAGGAAGUAACAGCAAGGAAAGAUAGGACCUCAGGUCUUGCUGUGUGUAACCGUUCACUGGUCACUUUAUUAGUUGACUCUUGAACCUUUGAUGUCCAGGGAUGAGAAUAGUUAUGACAAAGUCACUCCACACCACUUCAGGGUUCUCAUGUAUGCUAGUUAGAGGUGGCACCAACUUAAAAAAAACAAAACAAAACAUGUUUUAAGGUAAAAGCAGUUGCUAUUGGAACCCAGAUGGUGGCUGUAUUGCCCCUGGGUAUAAGUCUGCCCACUACCAGUUAUACAUUGUAAGGAGACACGAGGACUGCCUUGGACCAAAAGAAUAGCCCAGGGUCAAAGUAUAGCAAGGGGGUAUAGCAGAGUAUGGAAGGGAGCGAGCAGGCAACUUCUUCCCAGCAUGCAUCAGGAGCCCUCACGGCUCUGGAGAGCUGUGGAUUUUUAGACCUGAUCUUAUUAACUACAAAGCCCAGUGCUCAGCAGAAAUUUCUCACUCAAAACCCUCAAAUUUAAAACAGAUGAAAACGGUGCUUCCGUCUCCCCACCAGGCCUCCUUCCAGGGUUCUGUGUUUAGCCCUGGGGCUUGGGAAUCCAAUAUUGCAUCAGUUGUACUCUUAAAGGAUGAGAAACAUGGAGAAUGUGGGAAGACAAUGUUCUAGGCCAGGGCUCUCCAUAUCCCAGAGAGACUCCCCAGGCAAGUUCCCCACAGUGGGGAGAGGGAUGGAGGCAGCCGGUCUGUGUGACUCUGCUUACUUCACUUCCUCAAGUCCUUUCUGGUAUAUGGCUCAUCAUAUGCAUUGUAUAUUAAUUAGCUCAGUGGAAAAUAAUCACAACUAAAUUGCAUUCUGUUAUACAAUAAAUCGAACAGCAGCAUAAUUUAGGGGUAUGUACCAAACUUAAAUCUUUUUUUUUUUUUUUAGUUGAUGAACUAUAGUAUCAAAAUUAUCUGGAGACCACACAGUCCUAGAUUAUAAAUGUCAGCUUUUGGUAUUGCAAAUCCUAUCUACUCCAGGAUCCAAUUCCCACCAUGGCAGAGGCCAGAAGCUCAGCCUUCCCAAGAAGAGAGUUUAACUGCUUAGGGGCCCUUGGCAAUUUGUCAUUUAUGGCAGGUUUUGAGGACAUAAACAUUGCAGUGGUAUUUUUGAAAGGAAAUGUUUAUCAUUUUAGCUCCCAAACACAUCACAAACAGAAACAAUAAUUUCAUUAGUAGCUGAAAAUUGUAAUAAUGCUGUUGAAUAUAAAUUUCACAGCUAUGGUAAUUCUGAAACACAAGGAUGGUGAAUAAAUAAUCACAGCAGUAUGAUUGGGAAUAAACUUCAUUGCUGUGAGUGAGACGCGAGUGGGAGGGGCUGACGGAGAUGGCUGUCUGGGGUGACUGUUUUCAGCUGGGGGGGGGGGGUCAGGGCAUUGCAGUAGGUGUGCAUCAUGUUCUCCAGUAUCAGACCUUGGUCAGAGACUGUGAUGACAACCCCUCACUCCAACCUGAAUCUCACAUCUCCUGUGCUUUAAGUCAUUUAUCACCUCUCCAACUCCACCCUGUUACAAGACCCAAGGGUCAGCCUCCCUUUCUCUGUUUCUCCACAUCGAGCCUCUCAAGAAGCUGAGCUGCUUCACCACUGGACUGUGUCUGGAGUCAGUCACCCCUUCCCCACCUCAUUUGGUGGGGACCACUGUGAUGCCUCCCACUGUCCUAUUCUACCCCGUGUGUUCCCCUCCAACUGAGCCGUCAAUAGACUGAGCAUGUAUUGCUACUAUGUGGUCCCUGGAUAAGCUAUAACCUGCCUGUGGCUGCAUCUUUCUUAUAAAAUCAGCUCCAGACUCUGUGACUGCUCUUCAAACCCAUGGGACUUCUUCUUCCCAUACACCUUUCUUUCUCAGUCACUAUUGCACUUUGGACACCAGCCUAAGCCAACCACAGGAUUCUCUUGUCCCCUCAGCUUAGAGUUGAUUUGUGUCCAUUCUUCAAGGCUACAGCUUUAGUCCCUUUUCAUAGGAGCACCUAUCAUUGCUAAAUUAGCCCCUGGGGGCUUUUAACUCUGUUGCUCAUCUACCUACAGCUGUGGCUUCCGGGCCUCCAGGGGUAGUGUUUCUCCUAGAAACACUAGGGUGGUCCAGAUGCCCUUGAAACUUCCAGGAAGAAGUCCUCCAUCAUUUGUGGCUUUCAGGCUUACAGCUCCACUUCUAAUGAGGACAGGCAUCAUCACACGCCACAAACAAAAUGCUCACAUCUCUGGAUGCUCCUCUGGGCUCUUCAUGGAGCAGGCCAGACAGAUGUUCCUAACCUGCCAUGGGUCUGGGCUGAGGUGUCAGAUAGAUGUCAAGCUGUCUGACACCUCUGCUUACCUCUGAGAGCGACAAAACUCAGAGCAGAGCCUCAUGUGGCCACCUUGGAGCCCAAGGCUGUGCAAAGAUCAGUUUGCCCACUCUGCCUCUCUGCAAAAAUGUAGACAUGUUGCUUAUUAUCAAACUUUUAUCUUUUUCCUUUCUCCUUCUUCCCACUUAAAAAAAGAUUUAUUUUAUGUAUAUGAGUAUUUUACUUGCACAUACGUUUGUGUACUGUGCACAUCUCUGAUGCCCAUAGAGGUCAGAAGAGGGCAUGUGAUACCUUGGAACUGGUACCCAGGGACUGGAGUUUCAGAUGGUUGUGAGCUGUCAAAUUGGUUGGUGCUGGAAAAUGAAGCUGGGUCCUCAGCAAUAACACCAAGGGCUUUUAACCACUGAGCCAUCUCCGUAGCUCCCUCUCUCUGACUCCUUAAUGAUAUCCUUGAUACAUCACUGAGCUAUGUCUCUAGCUACGGAUGCCGUUUUUGUUGUUGUUGUUGUGUCUGUGUGUUUGCAUGUAUAUGGUAUGCAUGUACACAAAUAUGUUCAAGUGUGUGUAUGCACAUGUGUGCAUGUGCAGGUGGAGGAGAGAAGUCAACACAGAAUGUCUUCCUCUAUUUCUUUACUCCCUUAAUUUUUUGAGACAGGCUUUGUUACUAUACCUGGAGCUCACCAACGUGGCUAUGCCGACUGCCAAAAGAGUUUCAGCCUGUCUCUAUCUCCUUGGUGGUUGGAUCACAGAUGGGUGCUGCUGCACCCAGCUUUUGAUAUGCGUGCUGGGGAUACAAACCCUGGUCUUUGUGUUCACAUAGCAAGCACUUCACUGGGCAAGCUGUCUCCCCAGCACACCAGUUUUUAAACACUGCAUAGAGUCACUUUGUUGCUUAGUGAAAUUCUUGUGCCUUUACAUUUGGAAUCCAAGACAAGUGCCUCACCUACUCCACUGUGUCUCAGAACCACGUUGACCUGGAUAUGCGGACAUCUCAGGAUCCAGAGAGAUUUUAACUGAGGGGAAUGGUUGAUGACUGUCACAGGUUGUGGCAGUACGGAUACAACCCAGUUUCCUACCCGCUGAGGCUGACACAAAGAGCACAGAUCAGAGCUGAGGACAGCUGUGUGUGGAUAUGUAUAUGUGUAUGUAUAUGUACACACACACACACACACACACACACACAAACAAAUCAUCCAAUAUUGGCUGAGGUCCAGGAGCAGAUUUUAACAUAAUAGAAAGAGCAGAGUUUGGGGGUCUCAGGGCUUCAGGCUUAGGUUUUGAUUUUCCUGUCUUGCUGCACAGUAUAAGGCAAGGCUGUACCCUCCUGGAGCCCUCAAGUCUCUAUUGGUCAAAUGGAGAGUUAAGAGAGCAUCUGGGUUGGGUUGUGGGAACAUGAAUGAGACACUUGGCUCAUCCCAGGCCUGCCUACAGAGUGCCCAUGGUGUGCAGGUUUUCAUGUAAUUUGGGGAUUCAGAGGUGAGAGGGUGAUAAGAAAAAAUUGUCCUCACUCCCCACCUCCUGGAACCUUUGGGUAGAAGGGGCAAUGGAAAUCUUUCUGGGUCAUUCUAUGUGCUUUUUGGUUCCAUGUGCUCACCGGAAGUUCCUGUGUUGUGAGAAGCAGGGGAGGAUCUCCUUGGGGAAGCUAGGAUCCCAGGUGGUCACAGCAGGUAGGAAGGGCCUCCAGGCAAAGGAAGGCAGAGAUGAGAUUAAAAAAAAAAAAAAGGAGCACAGGAUGUUCAUUUGUGAAUCCAGUUUCCCAUCAAGAGCCUCUGUGCUGGGCCCUGGGAGAUAUGAACAUGAAUUCUAGAAGCUUCCCUGGCUGACUAAGCUUUCAACUCUAAGAGCUGAGUUCUGGGGGAUGGGGCUAGGUGAGAAGUUUCCAGAAAGAGACGACAGAAGCCCCAUGGAGUGAAGAAGGAGGGAAAAGGGCUAACUCAGAAGAGUCAACCUUAUGAUGAACAGGGAGUAAACGAGAAGGGACGAUUCUGUGUCACCUGCCAUUUUUCUUGGGAAGCAAAAGUUCUUUUCCAGAAAUCACUCAGGUGUUUGGCAAGAAAAGAUCCCAAGCUGGGGAGGGAGCUCCAGAGUUGGGGAGAAUUCCCUAGGGUGUGCAUAUUUGUGAACUAGAAGGUACAGGCAGCUCUCGUGGACGGGAUCCAUUUGCCCAUGAGGCAGGUGAGCUAGGGGUUACCAUAAAGAUUUUAACUGGUAAUUGGUAGUGCGUUUCCAUUGUUCUGUCAGGAAUGGAUGAAAAUUAAGAGCCAGGAAGAACACAACUGUUGAACUGUAAAUGUAAUCUCAAUGCAGCAAAAAAGAAAUUGGCAUUUCUGCAAUGUUUGAUGUUGGCAGCGCCAUUUCCCCUGGAGGUCAACAGGACAGGUGGAGAAGGGCCACUGAUUCUGUUCUUUAGCCUCAUGGCAUGACCUGAGAAAGUGUGUGCUUUCAAACCCUGCCAUGAAGUGUUGCGGUGACUGUUGGUCAUGCAAAUGGCAUUUGUGCAGAGGAUACAGCCUAGACACUUAUAUUGAAUCCACCAGAAGGUCUCAGCUCUUGCAUCUGAGCCAGUGAUGGAGAGGUGAGAAAUCCUAUGUUCCAUGAAGUCCCUCUGCUCUCUGGUCACCCCAAGAGUGCUGUAACACGGAGGGCCAUGUGUGACAUGCCCCAUCAGCUCAGGAAGAAAGCUAUAUCGGAUCGAGAGCCAAUCCACCAGCCAAACCCCAUGAUGCCGGCUUGGCAAUUAACAGUUCCAGCUUUCCUGAGGGGGCUCGUCACCGCCAAGCUGCGAAAAGUCCCAUCUGAGAGGUGGCGGGUUCACAGCAGAAACUCCUCUGUCGCCUGUUGUUAAUGUCUCUCAGCCUGAGUUCCUUCUUUCCUUCAGGGAGAGGAGGUCCUUCUUAUCAGCCGCCUUCCAGGAAUCAUGGGGGACACAAGUGAAGAUCUGUGUACCAUUCAGAGGUCACAAGGUGUUGACAGUGAUGGCAAGAGAGCCAAUCAACAAGUUGUCCUGCCAUCCACAGCUUUGGAGGAUGGGGGGAGAAGCAGCUAUUUUAGAGGCCAGUGAGCUUGGAGCCAUUUGUGAGUCAAGGCUUUAUGAGAAGCAGGAGUGCACCAUCUGGCCCUGGGCCCCUGCCAGGCUGAGGACACUUCAAGCUUCUUGAGAUUCUGCGGUGAAAAUGGGGGCCAGAGUGUGUGCUCAGGAACGGGUGAAGAGCUAGGGCUCGGUUGGCAAAAAGGGGAGGGGUGGAGGGGCAGGAGGUGGUCCAGUGGUGGAUCAUUUGUAUGACAUGCAGUCCAUGGACUGGUGAAAGAGAAGCGGGCAAGGAUAUGAGAAUCCUUACAUCUGUAGAAAGACAGAUCAUAGGUCUCAGUACCAUUAGCAAGGAUGCAAAGGGUCUAGCUCUUGGCUGCAGCUUUGUAUCCUAGGUUACCCCAUUGCCUGUGGGCUGUAAUUGACAGAAGGGAGAGAUAGAUCAUGAAGCUGAACUCUUACUCCAAGGAUAGGGAAUGAAAACGAAAUAAAACAAAACAAAAACCAAACAAAGAAAACCAACAACAACAAAAAAGAGGAAAACAAAACCGGUCAGAUUGGUGGCAGAUGUUAACCUGUUAAUUCCAACAUUUCAGAGGGGGAGGCAGAAGGAUUGCCUGAGUUGUGGAGUAGCCAGGGCAACAGAGUGAGAGCCUGACUCAAAACUACUGAAACAAAAAUGCAGACAAAAAGGACAGGGUGCAAAAGGGAGUCACUAUGGUGUGUUUAGUAUCCCACGUAUACUGGGGAUCAGUGAAUGGGCACAUUGGUAAAAACCUGCCAAGUGUGCCUUGGAGUAAGAGACCCAUUUGCCACCCAAAGCCUCUAUAGAGGGGCAUUGGGGAGUGAGGAUUCCCAGGACUGCUCAGCAGAUAAUCCUAAAGGAUAAUGUUAAAGGAGACAUAGAUUUUUCCUAGUUUAUGAAACGUAUAGGCCAAACUAAAACCCGGUGACCCAUUGUAUGAAGUAAAUGGCUGCAGGGUUGGCCAAUCACCCCCCAGAGAGUCGAUUGCCCCCUCCCCCUCCCAGCAAAGUAAGUUAAUAUUUAUUCAUAGUAUUAACAUUUUUUAAAUGAAGCCAUCCAGGAGCAGGCUCCUGAGAAAGAAAUGAAAAUGUGCAGAGACACUGGUUAGAAAUGUUGUCACAGAUGAAGACCAUGGAGGCAAUUAACACCGAGGAGAAAGUCAAUCUGGCAAGCGAAGAAACUGAAAUAUUUAUAUAAAAAACUUAAAAAAUCCCAUUAGUUAUUACCCAGGUGGACAUAUCGCCAUGUAAUUAUGGAGUCUGCUAACAAAAGCAAAUUUCUCUCUCUCCAGUGCCAUCUCCAAGGUAUCGAGUUGGCGGGACUUCUCUUCACGGGGAAGUAAUUUAAAUAGACAGGGAACGAGUUUAGGGUUGCUGUAAAAUUUUCUUAUUUUAUAGGUCAAAAUUUUGAAUCCCAGGGCUGGAAACCACUGGAGAGAGGAGAUGGCAUGUGCCAUGCAGAUGCUCUGUGUGUGCUCAGGGAACCGUAUUAUGAAAGAUGGUGGAGGAGAUACUGUACCAUGGGGAGUCACCGAAGCAGCAACGUGAACAGGGUGCAGGAGCUGUCAAAAUAACCAUCUUGUCUGCACUAGUGAGACCAGAACACACACACACACACACACACACACACACACACACACACACACACCUCUCUCUCUCUCUCUCUCUCUCUCUCUCUCUCUCUUCAUCUCACUCUCUCUCUCUUUCUCUUUGGGAUGUAAUGCUGGUCCUCUUACAUGCUAGGUAAGUACUCUACCACUGAGCCCUACCCUCGCCAUUUAGAGACAUCACAACUCAUGACUAUAGAUAACUUUGCAGAGGAAUGGUAGCAUCUCAAGACCAUAGCAUCCUACCUAUGUAGGUGGGGCUAAGGUUCAUUGUUCUGAGCAGCAGAGAAAAACAAACAAACAAACGAACAAACAAACAAACAAAAAGCCUGGGCUUUCUAACUCAGAGCAAUCUUCACUGUCAAGCUCUGAUUUCUUGCUCUACUCUCCGGGGCUCACUCUGUGCCUUGUUCAAGAGUGAUGGUGCCAGCUGAUACCACGGAAGGCCUUGCUUUCCAGCUCAGCCUCUUUGGUUACCCUCCUUUGGGUUCUCAUUAGAGCUACUUAAAAGGAGGUCCCAUCACCCUCAUCUUCCAAAGAGAGGACUGGGGUUAUAUCAUUUGAGGACAGCUUCAUUUCCCUCCCAUACACCUAAACAUUUGCUCUUGACCGGCACAGCUUAUCUUCCAAACACCGUAAGGUCAACUUCGCAGUCUUCCUCUAGGCUAUGUGUCUCUUUCACCCGAUUCUUGUCCUUCACUUCUGGCUCAACUUUCAUUUUCUGGCUGAUUUGCUGAAAUCUACAAUUUGAUCUUAGGUUGCUUCCAUCUAUCAUCCCCGAAAUUAAUCUUCUAGUCCCUUGAUCCAGCGUCCUACCCACUUUCUUCAAAGCCAUAGUGAUUUAGCUUUUCUACCAACAUAUUGCAAUGUCUCUGGCUAAGCUUACUGGUGACCUAAUUUUCAAAUUUAAUGACCUAUUUUCAAUCUUUCUUCUUUCCCGAUUCUUUAAAACAACUCCUCUAUUCUGAAAGCCUUUCCUCCUCUGGCAUUGCUUUUACUUCUUCAUUUCUUCAUUUACUUCCUAUUUAUUGCUCCAUACUAAGUGCUAGGGGGAACGCCCUAGAGACACAUUUGGAGACACAGUUGUAUAAUGUAUUCUACUGAAGAAGCAGGUAAUGAAUACUACAGAAACGAGGAGAAAGUUGAUGUUAAUUAAUGAUGUGGCCAAGAAGCAUCUUCCAUGGCUGGACACCACUGCCUUUUCCAAUGCCUUUGACAAUAUCUCUGGAUAUUCCUCCAUCUUGUUCUUCAUUAUUCUUUGUCACAGGCCCUCUAAGAAAGCUGGCUCACUACAUAUGCUCCUGGAAUUCCAUUCUAGCUGUAUUUACUACACUUGAUUCUUUCCUUCCAGUCACUUACUGGACAUAUUCAAUGGCAUGUCCUCAAGUUUGCCAAGUUUAGAGGGGGCACCUUCUUAUCACCCAAGUCUACUUUUCAGUGUGUUCAUUGCCAUGGUUACUGACAGCAGUCUCUUGAUAUAGAACUUGACCCCCAUCUGUACUCCAACAGUUUUAAGGGCAGUUGAUUCUGCACCUUAAAGGCCCCUAGAACUUGGCCUUUUUUCUUCCUUUAGUUUCAGGAUUUAUUCCUCCGAUUAGAUUCCUACCUUGAACAGAUUUUUGGCCUCUAGCUGCUUCCCUAACUAUGGGUAUCUCCACUCCAGGCCUCCUUGGUACCCCAAGCCUAUGAAAACCUGAUUUUGUAAUUUCCCACUUCCCCCAUUUUUCCAUAUGUAUGUGUGAGUACAGAUGCACAUGUGUGCAUGUGUGGAAACAUGAGGUUGAUGUUGGAAAUCAUCCUUGAUUGCCUUGAUUGUAUGUUUGCUUUAGAGCUCACUGACAUGGCUAAUCUCACCUUUCAGCCUGUUCCCGGCAUCCCCCGUCUUCAUUUUCUGAGGCUGAAAUUACAGUUGUGCUGCCAUACUCAUUUGACAAUUGUAUGAGUUCGGUGCCUCUGCAUUCUGCUCCUCACACUUGUACGGCAAACACUUUAACCACUGAGCUAUCUCCCCAUGUCUGUCACUGCUCAAUUUUAUAAGACUCCCUUGCCUCUUUGUAGCCCAUAAUAUCAUGUGAAGAACUGUAGGAUAUACACCGAGUGCUGGCUUGUGAGGAUAUGUUUUUAUGAGAAUGCUGAACUGUGACUUACCGCAUUCUGAAAUGUGAGAUAGACAUCAUUCAGGUGAGUUUCACAUAGGCAGGGGAAGGGCUGCUUUACGCACCUUCAGUUUCUGUUAUAGACACAUGUGUCAAAGCAGGAGGUUGGGAGGUGGCAGCUGGAAAGCCUCCCAAUGCACUCCUUCAUGGGGCAUCUUAGACAUGUGCCAGUUCUGCGGUUGUCAUUGAUCUCUUUAGGGUUCUACAUGCCCCUCUACUGUAAGAAAACUCUUCUCAGGUCACACGCACAUGGACUCUUCCUGUCCCCAUGCAUGCCUGGAUGUUCUCUCUCUGUGACUUUGUCUGUCCUCUCCUCUGGGCUGGAUUUCUCUUCUGUAGGCAAAUUCUUUAUGUCCCCUCUCACAGCUUCAGUGUUCACUCCCUGGCCUUCUUCCUGGGCAGGGUCAUUUCUAUUUUUUCCUUCUUGUGUGUGCUCAGGCAUCUCAUCUUCCAUCACUGUUGGCCUUAUUGGAAGUGAAAUACCCUGAUAGUCCUUUUUUUUUUCCCCCCUUCUCUCAUUAGGCCAUGCAGAGAUUGGAAUGUGAAGUCAAUUUAUCUUUGUACCUUUGGAAUUGAGAUAUAGAAUUUUGGAAACAUUGGAAAUUGUGCUUGUGUCCAUGUGUGUGCUCACACAUACUUACACACACAUAAGAACAUGUGUGAUAUAGGAAGGUGUGCAUUGUUGUCAUGGCAGCGAUAAAUAUAUUUACGUUCCCUACUGACAUUGAGUUCUUUGGGUGCCUUGUGAUAUUUAUUACCUUGUUCUCUAUAUCUCAGGACAGAUACUGAGCAUGAGGCUGGAAUUCAGUCUCAAGCUAAUGAGACACAGAAUUCAGUGAAAUUGUGCAAGCAUUUUGUCAGGUGACAGCAUCAGUGUGACACCUGUCUCUCUCCUUGUCUUAGGUCUCUCAUCGCUUAUGGAGGGCAGUGUAUUGUGGCAUUGGGUCCAUGUCUUCAUAAAUCUGGGGGCUGAUUAUACCAUGGCCCCAGUCUGUUGGAAUAAGGCAUUUGUAUACCUAAGGAUGAGGAAGACAUAUUUUCUUUGCUUUCUGAAUGGAUGUGACUUACAACCAUUCUAGGAAAGACGGGAAUAGAUGACCAGCAUAGCUUAACUGCUUAUGGGUAACUUUGAAUGUGUUUCAGAACAUGUCUGCUACCUCCUUGCAGAGAGACCAAACAUCCACGGGCAUCCUUCACUGUCAAAGAACACUUGGUUCUUGAAUGGGUACACACCCAGUUUCAUCUGAGCCACUUUAGAAGUUGGUGGCUUUAAUAAGAUACUUCUAUCUAUGACCUUUGGUUUUGUUUUCUGAGAGUAAAGGACAGGCAAUUGUCCUUGUAGGAGUGUUCACAAUCACAUGGAUUAAACAGCUUUGGACCUUGGACAUACUCCAAAUGUGACAUUUCAAGGAAAAGAGAAAGUCUAGAAAGCAGAAGUCGAUGGGGUGGGGAAAUGGGGUGUGGCAAUAUCAAGAGGCGGAAGACAGUGGGAGCAAGGAGUAAAGGGGAACAGGGUCAUUCUGGGUAAUUUUGUCAGCAUGGCACAGGACACCUUUGACUUUUGAGGUCUGAUGACUCUUUGUCACAGUGGGCUGUUCCAUGCAUUCCCCUUGAAUACUAGUAACUACCUCUGUCACAUUCUGUUAGUUGUGACUAAUGUUAGGUACUCCAAAUGUCAUUGCUCAGUGUCUCCUGGAGAUAAAAAUCACACUAUAGAGUAGCACUCUUUCAGACAGAGAACACCAAAGCUGUGGAGGAGAGCAGAUAGUGUCAGGUAGAUCACUACCCAAACAGCAGAUCUGAAAAAUAUGGUCUUCUAGUUUCUUCAGCUGAACACCCUACCAACCCCAGAUAAAUGACAUUAAUUCUCAGAUAGGCAAAAAGACAAUGAGAAGUCUGGUAUUAAGAAAACUGGCAACUGCCUGGGCAUGUGCACUGUGACCCUAGUGCCAGGAGGUAGAGGCAGGUGGAUGAUGAAUUCAAUGUUAUCUUUGGCUAUAUAAUGGGGUUUGAGAUCAACCUCUGAUACAUGAGGUUCUUCAGUGGUUUGAAUGAGAAACACCUCCUUCCCCAUCCUUGGGGAGGUCUGGGAGGUGUAGCCAUGCUGGAGUGGAGGAAGGAUGCUCCUGGAGGCUGGCACUCAGGUUUCAAAUCCUUGUGCCAUUCCCAGUGCUUACCCUCAUUCUGUUCUGUGUUUAUGGCUUGAGGCCUAAGCUCUUAACUCUACUCCGUCCACCAGGCCUCUGCUCUGCCAUUAUGGACUCUAACCCUCUGAACUCAUAAGCUGAAAUAAAGUCCUUCUCCUGUAAGUUGUCUCUCCCAUGGUGUUUUGUUGCAGCAACAGAUAAGUAACUAAUACAGGCCCUUUCUUUAAAAAAAAAAUCAAAACUACCUGACCUACCCACGCAUCCAAAUAAUCAAACAAAACCUCCAGUGGCAAAACCCAAGCUUGUUUGCAGCUGCUGCCAGUUUAGGAUGCGGCUUUGAUUGGGCUCAAAGACUAUCAGGGCAGGAAUGUUCUGGGUAAUGAAUUCAUAGGCAUAAAUAGAGGGAGAUUGGUGCCAACCUUGGUCUACUUUUGUGAUUUACUCGCCAAACAUCCUUGCAAUCACAAGAUUUUAUUUAUCUUCUUAGAAGUGCCCACUUUUCUGUAUUCUCCCUCUAUCGCUUUGUCAAGAAACAACUAGUGGUCUUACUCUGAGUCCUGGUAAUUAUUAACGCAUCCAACAACUCUUUUUCUCAAGCUUUAAAAUGUCCAGUAAAAUUUCCCAUCAAGCACUGCUUCUAGACUGCAAGCUUUUUAAAAAAAUCUUAUUCAGACUUGCUUGCAAAAAUUAUUUUAUUUAAAAAAUGGUAUUCCUAUUUGUUCAGCAGAAUUUCAAAGAAGAAAACGUAUGCAACAUUGUUUGCUACAUUUGAUAAAUAGUUUAAAAUGAUUAUGCUUUUAAUUGACACAUGAAAAUUGAGCAUCUUCAUGGGGUACCAUUUGAAGUUUUUUUUUCAUUUUGUCCUAUUUUUCUUAGAGUCUAAUCAUUGAGCAAUCAGCUUCAUUAUGACAAUUUAAUACAUAUGUGUCAUUUACUUUAUUUAUUCCCCUUUUCUGUGGUCCUCUAUAUUGCUUACUUUUCUAUUGCUAUGAUAACACAUGACCAAGGCAACUAACAGUAGGAAGGGUUUAUGGUUCUAGAGUGAUAUGGAUUUGUCACCAUCGUAGGGGAGUGGCAAGCAUGGUAGGUGAAGCAGCCCUCUGAGAGCUUAUAACUUGAAGCACAAGCAGCAGGCAGAGAGAUGACACACUCGAAAAUACCAUGAGUCACUAAACUCUCAAGCCAGCUUCCAGUGGCCUCCUCCAACAAGACCACACCUCCUAACCCUUCCCAAACAGUGCCACCAACUGUAGACCAAGUAUUUAUAUAUCUGAGACCAUUGAGUACCUCUCAGCCAAACCACCAAAUCCUGCUUUAUAAUUUUGCAUCUUUCUAAUUUUUUAUUUUUGAGAAUUUCACAGAUGCAUAAAAUAAAAUAUGAUUGUAUGUACCCCUUUCCCCUUCUGCUCCCCACAUACCCCUCCAAUAGAACUCCUGCCAAUUUCAUAUCUUUUCUUUUCUUUUUUUUUUUUUGAUAACCCAUCACGUCUAGUUACUGCUGCCUAUACAUGCGUGUAGCAUGGAAACCUCAUCCUCAAAAAGAAAUGAUGCUCGUUCCCUCUUGAACUGUCUACUGUAAAUAGCUCCUCUGUUAGGAUUGGGGCCUAGAGAUUAUCUCUUCCAUCUGUGUCAGAACUUUGUGACGGUUACCACAGCUGCCACAGGUUCACGGAUGCCAAUGCUGUAUCCUGUGCAGAAGACAGCGUGUCAUCGCUCUUCUUGCCAUCCAGUUCCUGUCGGGUUGACCAUAUUUAUUUUCUUAAAUACCCAUCAUUUGUUUAAAAAAAAAAAGGCUUCCCUUGAAACUUCGAGAUUGUACUCACAAGAUGGUGAAUUCUUGGUAACAUCACCUUGCUUCCUUCCUAGCAGGCAGUUUGGUGCAUGCAUGCUUUUUUGGCUUGACCUGGAAAAUAGGAAUAUUGGUGUAGCAUUUCCCAAAGGUGAAGAACAUAUUAACUAAGGUUUUUGCAGCUUUCUGAACGUCUGAGGCUUAAAAAGGACAAGACGUUCCUCAGGGUCUGUUUGCCAUAGUGCAGUCUGCCUUCUGUGUAUGCUUUCGACCACAUUGUCUGGGUCUUUAUCUUUUCAGGAUAGCUCUAUUACCCUAAGGUACAUAUUUUUCCAAACAUUAUAAGAUGCCUGGUGUGAUAACACUAGAGGGAGAGAAAUCCAUGCGUGUGAGCCAGAUGUGGUGUGUUUUGAGCACUUACGGCAGGAUCGCAUUGGCUGUUUGGAAGUCCUACAUCUGCAGUGCUCGCUAGGCCAUACUUACCCGUAAUGCAGGGUUUUAAGGUCACUACCGGUUAUUAUCUGGCUGGUAAUGACCACAGAACUAUACAUUAUUGCUAUUAGGAGCCAUUUUGGUCCUAUUUUCAGUUUUCCUUUUUUUUUUUUUUUAUUGAGUAGCUGCUGACACCCAGGCUCUUGGAGGUUGGAUUACAGUAGCUCGGAGUCUUGGUCACUCUCUGCAUGCUGUUUU
rnacentral:lncRNA from 1 species